UAACACAAGUAAAAAACGAAAAUGGGAAAAAAAGCCCACCCUCAUACCCCCAAGACACUGAAACAAACAUGGCAAACAUGUUUAUGCAAGAUUAUAAGCUCAGUCAAACAUUUAUUUGUUUUUUUUCGCCAGUGUUUACUAAUUUUUACAGUCCAAGGGGAGUAACUCUUGAUGGUUUCAUUACUGUGUCAGAAAACUGGGUCAUUCAAUCAACAGGUGAUCACAGGAAGUAAACAUGCGAUAGAGAACUAAAUGAAAGUGAAACAUAGAGACACAUCAAUGAACAAAAGCCACUACAGCAAGAGACUUUCUACCCAGACCACAACCUACAGCUUUUAGGGUCUUAGCCAAUGCAACAUCCCGUUUAUUAUUGACUUUCAAGACUGCUGCAGAUGCACGGCCUAAUGCAUUGCGAGAAAAAUUCUUAUUCUUCGAUGCGGAAAAAAACUUCACAGAAUUGUUCGAAAAGGUGUACCGAAUAAAUUCAUACUGCAAUACAAGUGGAAUCUGACAUUUGCUGAUCUAAUAUGGGUCAGGAUCCCUAAUAGACCUUGAGACGAGGAACUCAGAUGACGUAAUUAAAAAACA